rnacentral:rRNA from 1 species
AGAGUUUGAUCAUGGCUCAGAUUGAACGCUGGCGGCAGGCCUAACACAUGCAAGUCGAGCGGUAGCACAGAGAGCUUGCUCUCGGGUGACGAGCGGCGGACGGGUGAGUAAUGUCUGGGAAACUGCCUGAUGGAGGGGGAUAACUACUGGAAACGGUAGCUAAUACCGCAUAACGUCGCAAGACCAAAGUGGGGGACCUUCGGGCCUCAUGCCAUCAGAUGUGCCCAGAUGGGAUUAGCUAGUAGGUGGGGUAACGGCUCACCUAGGCGACGAUCCCUAGCUGGUCUGAGAGGAUGACCAGCCACACUGGAACUGAGACACGGUCCAGACUCCUACGGGAGGCAGCAGUGGGGAAUAUUGCACAAUGGGCGCAAGCCUGAUGCAGCCAUGCCGCGUGUGUGAAGAAGGCCUUCGGGUUGUAAAGCACUUUCAGCGGGGAGGAAGGCGAUAAGGUUAAUAACCUCAUCGAUUGACGUUACCCGCAGAAGAAGCACCGGCUAACUCCGUGCCAGCAGCCGCGGUAAUACGGAGGGUGCAAGCGUUAAUCGGAAUUACUGGGCGUAAAGCGCACGCAGGCGGUCUGUCAAGUCGGAUGUGAAAUCCCCGGGCUCAACCUGGGAACUGCAUUCGAAACUGGCAGGCUAGAGUCUUGUAGAGGGGGUAGAAUUCCAGGUGUAGCGGUGAAAUGCGUAGAGAUCUGGAGGAAUACCGGUGGCGAAGGCGGCCCCCUGGACAAAGACUGACGCUCAGGUGCGAAAGCGUGGGGAGCAAACAGGAUUAGAUACCCUGGUAGUCCACGCCGUAAACGAUGUCGAUUUGGAGGUUGUGCCCUUGAGGCGUGGCUUCCGGAGCUAACGCGUUAAAUCGACCGCCUGGGGAGUACGGCCGCAAGGUUAAAACUCAAAUGAAUUGACGGGGGCCCGCACAAGCGGUGGAGCAUGUGGUUUAAUUCGAUGCAACGCGAAGAACCUUACCUGGUCUUGACAUCCACAGAACUUUCCAGAGAUGGAUUGGUGCCUUCGGGAACUGUGAGACAGGUGCUGCAUGGCUGUCGUCAGCUCGUGUUGUGAAAUGUUGGGUUAAGUCCCGCAACGAGCGCAACCCUUAUCCUUUGUUGCCAGCGGUUAGGCCGGGAACUCAAAGGAGACUGCCAGUGAUAAACUGGAGGAAGGUGGGGAUGACGUCAAGUCAUCAUGGCCCUUACGACCAGGGCUACACACGUGCUACAAUGGCAUAUACAAAGAGAAGCGACCUCGCGAGAGCAAGCGGACCUCAUAAAGUAUGUCGUAGUCCGGAUUGGAGUCUGCAACUCGACUCCAUGAAGUCGGAAUCGCUAGUAAUCGUAGAUCAGAAUGCUACGGUGAAUACGUUCCCGGGCCUUGUACACACCGCCCGUCACACCAUGGGAGUGGGUUGCAAAAGAAGUAGGUAGCUUAACCUUCGGGAGGGCGCUUACCACUUUGUGAUUCAUGACUGGGGUGAAGUCGUAACAAGGUAACCGUAGGGGGAACUGCGGUUGGAUCACCU